rnacentral:pre_miRNA from 1 species
CUUAUACUCCCUCCGUCUGAAAAUACUUGUCAUCAAAAUGGAUAAAAAGGGAUGUAUCUAGAACUAAUAUACAUCUAGAUACAUCCCCUUUUAUUCAUUUUGAUGACAAGUAUUUCCAGACGGAGGGAGUAUUUG